GUUGGAUGAAUGGGUACUGUGUCGGUUAUACAAUAAGAAGAACGCAUGGGAGAAGAUGCAUCAACAGAAGGACAAGCCGUUGGUCGAGACUUCGGAAUCUAUGCAAACUGGAUCGGAAAGCAUAUGGACUCCGGAAUCUGAAGUCGACCAUGAAAGCAUGCCGGAUCUAGCUGAUUUAGGUUAUCAGAACAUGACGAAGCCGAAGGUAGAGGAAAUCGU
rnacentral:misc_RNA from 1 species